GACGAACGCUGGCGGCGUGCUUAACACAUGCAAGUCGAACGGAAAGGCCCUGCUUGCAGGGUACUCGAGUGGCGAACGGGUGAGUAACACGUGGGUGAUCUGCCCUGCACUUCGGGAUAAGCCUGGGAAACUGGGUCUAAUACCGGAUAUGACCUUCCAUGUAGUGUGGGGGGUGGAAAGAUUUAUCGGUGUGGGAUGAGCCCGCGGCCUAUCAGCUUGUUGGUGGGGUAAUGGCCUACCAAGGCGUCGACGGGUAGCCGGCCUGAGAGGGUGGACGGCCACAUUGGGACUGAGAUACGGCCCAGACUCCUACGGGAGGCAGCAGUGGGGAAUAUUGCACAAUGGGCGGAAGCCUUAUGCAGCGACGCCGCGUGGGGGAUGACGGCCUUCGGGUUGUAAACCUCUUUCGACAGGGACGAAGCUUCGGUGACGGUACCUGCAUAAGAAGCACCGGCUAACUACGUG
rnacentral:rRNA from 1 species